CCUCCUCUAGCAAAGAUCUGCAAAGGAGAAGCUUGUGAGAACUGUAGUUACGAGAUCAGCUCUUCGCGUCAGUAUCUACUCCACCGGCCUCGCAGGACACACAGACCAGGCAGUGCUUUUGGAGCUCAUACCAUCAGAUGUGUCGGGGGAAUGUGUGCAGAACCAUGGCAUGAACUCCGAUCUCACAAGAGUGACUGCAAUGGAGAAAACAAAGUGGACACACAUGAAGCAAGCACAAAGUCUGUGGCAAUUUGUUCCAGCAGCCGUAGGAAACUAUGACAAACAGAGGAUUACAUGAUGUGCUGGAAGCUUUCGAGUCACAUGGGCUUGACCUGAAAUCUGUCUUCUGCCCCUUCAGCUGUGUGACAUCAGUAAAGCCUUCUCCAGCCCCCAGCUUUCCCAGUGCCAUUCUCUGGCUCGUGAACAUCGUGCUGCUCUUGUCCACCUGCUUUGAAAAGAAUCCCGGAUAUGGCUGCAGGAAGGCCCAUUCAUCACUUGUGCAACCCUGGGAAACGACUUACCCUCCCCAAGCCACCCUUACCUUGUUUGUAAUAUGGUGACAGCUGGACCUCCCCACCUGCCUACCCACCUGCCUACUUUACAGCCUGUGAUGAGGAUCAAACGAAUAUAUGAGGGAUGUCAAGGUUUCUAUUAAGUAUAAAGCCUCAAUCAUGUGUGAGCAUUUAUUAUUU